AUUAGGCCCAAAUGUGGAGAAACGGAAUAAGGGGUUUGGGAGGUUUCUGGGUUUUAUACGAAGUUGUUCAGAUCAGAGAGCAGAGCAACGCCAUUGCCAUGAGGCUCCACAAGCUCAUUACUGGGCAGCACAGGUCACUGGCCCAACUCCUGGGUCGCCGAUACUUCUCCGCCGCCGCUUCGACGGAGGAAUACGCAAAGAGGAACUAUGCAAACAAUGUUUCCGAGUACAAUACUGUUAUCGAUUCCGUCUCAGCUCAGAGAAGGCACUUCUUGUUGAGGGAUGUGUAUGAGGAUAUGGUCUGGACGGUGUGCAGCCAACAAGGGACACGUUUCAUUCGCUCAUUGCGGGAACAAUGAAAGGGGCUCGGUUGCAGGAUGCUUUCUUCUUCACUGACCAAAUGAAGUCUAUGGGUUUGGUCCCUGAUGAGAAGAUUGUUGGUUGCUUUUUGAAGGUUUAAAGCUUCGACAACAACUAUCACUGGAGCUGGUAGAGAAGAGAAGAUUAGAUUGUGUAGAUGGGAGAAGUGGAGUUGUGUGGAAGGGAGUGUGAGGGGUAGAAGGGAGAGUGAAAGUAUCAACGGCAAAUACCUGUGCUCUUCUAUAACACCGUCUACCGUUUCACCAAGCCCUAGCCCUGUCCAUUGCUCGAUCCCAAGCAAGAUGGCAGAGGUGAAUGGAAACAACAUAGAAGAAGAGGUGGCACUGGUGGCAGGGAAUAAUAGUAAUAAUAAUAAAAAAUAUGAUUUUAUUGAUCCUUAUGAUCCUCAUUGGGAUGGGAAACCUUACCCAACACCAAAAUCCAAGCCCCAUCUACCCCUACCCAGAUGAGCCAGAAGAUUUUGAAGAAGAUUUGUUAAUUAUUGCAAACCAACUGAAACUCACUGAUGGUUUUCAUGUUGAUUACCUUCCUAAAGGCAGAAGGCAGUGGCUUGCGUUUACCGUGCGCUCUGCUGAUGAUGAAGGGGGUUGCUGAUUUGAAGCUUAGCAAGGUUCUGAGUGUGUUAUCUGGGAUGGCUGCAGGAGUACAUUACGAUUUGACGUUGCAAUGUACUGACGGUUGCUUUCAUGAAGCUAGGAUCUUCAUGGGAAUUGGCGAUGCUAUCGAGUUAAUAACGUUUAGGCCUGCAAAACAUUGGCCAAGGCCGACGAUGAGGUAAGAAUUUAGUAGAUAAGAAGAUUGUAAAGAGGAGGAACUAGCCAAUUAGGUGGUGCUGAAACCUCAUGAACAUAGAUGGUACCAAUGAACUAGGAAGAACUAGAAGACUUUUGCUUUUAUUUUGAAAGCAUUAUUGUGCACAAUAUUACUUUGACAAUUAAAAUGAUGUGUUUUCUUUAAAAAAAUAUUUUUGAUUGAUUGGUUCUUUGAGAUUUAAAAAAAUUAUUAAAAUAAAUCAUGUUCAGUAUUUUAAAA